UACGGCCACAUUACAUUGAAAUACCUGUUCCCGUAUAACUACCGAAGUUAAGCAACGUCGAACCUGAUCAGUGCCUAGAUAGGUGACCGCUUGGGAAAACCAGGUGCUGUAAG